UGGAGGUUGUGUUUUAGCAUCUGAAGCCAGCAGAAAUAGUUUCCUUGUUCAAGGGAAAAUAGCUAUGCAAUGUAUAAAUGAGUUACUUUGACCAUUACUAUCUGCUAAAAUAUAUCUUCUCCGUAAUAUUUAAGCUACAUCAUUCAUCCAGUUCCACUGUGAGACAUUUUUCAGGAAAGAAAUAAUCACUGACUCAAAUAUAGAUGUAGGAUCUGCUCACUGCAAAUAAGUAAAAACUGCCAACUAUCCAACAAUAGUGAAAUGAUUAAAUGGAAUAUCAGUCAUUGAAAAUAAUGGGAAGCUAAUGAAAAAGUGCAAAUUAAAUGAAACAGGUUGUGAACUACACGAUCACAGUCAUGUGCACAUACAAAGCACAAGGAAAAAUCAAAAUGUAGUGGGAUUAAAGGUAGUUUUUAUACUUUUAAAAACCUUAAAAACCACAUGGCACUUUUAUAUGCAAAUUACACCAAAGACUUAACUCCUUUAGAUUAUCUCAAAGCCCAAUAAUUAACCAACAAAAAGUUUCCAGAGAUUACCUUAUUAACCAAAGAACUAGUCCAAAGGGUUUAAGCAAGUAAAGAUUUGUGGCAAAAAGAGGACUUGAGCCCAAGACUCGUGACCCAUUAGAGCUUCCUCCAGCACACCACAGCACACCCUAAGCUGACCUACCGCUUGGAAAGGGGCUGCCAAAUUACCACAACGAGGGAAUUGGUGUGUGCGCUGAGCAUCGACUGUAAACAUAAUCAGCUAUCGCUAGAGUUUCAAUACAUUUUUUGAAGUUAAAAGAUCUAAAUCUCAAAAUAUUUGCAACUAGGGGAGUAGGAGAACGCAUUUUCCAUGAUAAACCUUAUUUUAAACCAAAGAGAAGGAGGAAGAAUAGCCAUAAGGAUCAAGAGACAUGCACUAUGACCAGUAACAGUGAAAAGCAAUCUCCUAAUUUGAAAAAAGUCGCCUCGCCUCCCUCCCCACAUACUACUGGAAUCCUGACCUCUACGGGUAUUUAGUUUUAUGAGCAAACAAUUCUGAGGCAGCCGACUUAACUCCUAAGUCCAAGGGCCCUCUAAAAAUCGAAUUAAAGAAGUUUCUACUGCUGUGAGUUUCUGCCAGGAGCUGCAAAAAGCACCAGAUACAAAAACACUGUCCUAAGCAAGAUCCCACUUCCACCCAUCAAUGCUUUGAAGACCAAGGUAUGGAAAAGGGGAAAAAAAGGUCCAGCUGUUUGUCCAUUUAUCCGUUCCUCUUUGUAUAAACCAGAAAAUAAUUCAUCCCCGAAUCCCCUUACUUACCUUCCGGUUGUCGACCACGCAGCUUUUAGCGAGACAGGAAGCUGUCGCUUUGCGUCUUCCGCGCGCGCGCGCGCGCGCGCGCCCACGGUCUCAUGGGAAGUGUAGUCCACCCUUGUGGGAAAUGUAGUUCCAAGAGACGGAGGUGCAGGCUUGACGCUGAAAUCUGCCUAAUAUUUUCUAGUCUGGCCACCACUUCUCCACCUCCGACAAAGCAGAAUCUGGGGCCUAUAAUAAUACAAGAAUAAAGGAUAAAUUCUAGUGCGAUAAAAUAACGGAAAAGCAGUUUUUCAAAUGUCUGCUGUCCUUAUAUGAAAUUAACAUUAAAGAACCUGGACCGAUUUUAUACCUACUUAAGUUACUAGAAAGUUAUCAUUGCGAGACAAAUACAUUUGCUGUUAGAAUUCACAUGUGAAGUUUGAAAAGGAAUUUGAUAACCUCAAAACAAACGAUUGAGGUGCCUGAGAAUGACCGAACAGAGCUGGGGAGUCUUGCUUCAGCACCACGGAGAGAUCAUAACUAGGUUUUCGGUUUGUGGGUUUUUGCAUAGAUGCUGAUCUAAAUCUCAAGAUUCCAGUUAGAAAACUGAAAGAAAUCUAGUUCUUCUGUCCAAAUUUAGCAGUCAGUAGUACAAGGAAUCUAUGUCAGAUUAUGCAGAUACGGGUAGGAGGUAGAGGUUGUACCGCAAGGAAAACCGUUAUCUCAGGAUUGCAUUAGCAAAGGGCAUGUACCAGCAUUAAAAUUAAAACAAGCCGGUACGUGGAAACAUCACAGGUACUAGAACAGGGGCAACAGUUAGAACCUGAACAACUUUACUUCCUCUUCGCAUCUUUCUCAUUUGAAUUACUUUGUCAGGUGAAACUCACCCAUUUUGACCCUCUACUUUCCUAUGAAAUGCUCUGGUCUUUCUGACAUCUAGUAAUGUAGAAGCGGAUAUUUUGGGGAAACAUGGGCAGGAGUGCUUGAAGCGACCGGGCGGGGGCGGGGAGCGGGGAGGGUCCAGCCUCACCGCCCGGAGAAUUGCGUAGUAAGUGGUGAGUAAGGGAGGUAGGACUCUCGAAUCAGUGCGAAAAUUGCCGCGGCUUAGAAUCUCAAGCUGUUGCGGGUUUAGCAGAGGUCAGGAGUAGGCGAGUGUUCACGACACUGGCGCCCCGUCGCGGGUUUCUAACACCUGGCGCCGACGCGCGGCUGGUCGAGGGCAAACCUGCCUCUGAACUCAGUUCUCCUUCCCCUGCAGCCCCCACCUCCUCUCCUGGCUCCGCCCACUUCUCUGGAGCUCCCGCGCCUGCGCGCCGCGCCGCGGGUGGUCGCGGGCGCGUCAGCCUGCCCCCAGAGCAAGCCCAUUGGCCGCUGGCUGGAGCCGGGCGCUGCCUCGUGCUGGGGGAGGGCGCACGUGCUGGGGGCGGGAGCUGUGAUAGCGGCUAUGGCGUCGUUACUUUGGGGAGGCGACGCCGGGGCGGCGGAGAGCGAGCGGCUGAGCAGCCAUUUUUCAAACCUCAUGCAUCCCCGGAAGAACCUUUGGGGUAUUAAGAGUACUACAGUCCCAAACAUAGAUGGUUCUAUUAAUAACACAGAAGAAGAUGAUGAAGAAGAUGUAGUGGAUUUGGCAGCUAAUUCACUCUUAAACAAGUUAAUCCGGCAGUCCUUAGUAGAAUCCAGUCACCGAGUUGAAGUCUUACAAAAGGAUCCCAGCUCUCCACUCUACUCAGUGAAAACAUUUGAAGAGCUGCGGCUGAAGGAAGAGUUAUUAAAAGGGAUCUAUGCAAUGGGAUUUAACAGACCAUCCAAAAUCCAAGAGAUGGCUCUCCCUAUGAUGCUGGCCCACCCACCCCAGAACCUCAUAGCCCAGAGCCAGUCUGGAACAGGAAAAACAGCUGCUUUUGUCUUGGCAAUGCUAAGCAGAGUUAAUACCUUGGAAUUGUUCCCACAGUGCCUCUGCCUAGCUCCUACUUAUGAACUGGCUUUGCAAACUGGUCGUGUGGUCGAACAGAUGGGAAAAUUCUGUGUGGAUGUUCAAGUGAUGUACGCCAUUCGAGGGAAUCACAUUCCCAGAGGCACCGACGUCACCAAACAGAUUAUAAUUGGCACUCCUGGGACUGUCCUAGAUUGGUGUUUCAAGCGAAAAUUAAUUGACUUGACUAAGAUUCGUGUGUUUGUCCUGGAUGAAGCAGACGUGAUGAUUGACACACAAGGAUUCUCAGAUCAAAGCAUUCGUAUUCAGAGAGCUUUACCUUCGGAAUGCCAGAUGCUUCUCUUCUCAGCGACCUUCGAGGAGUCUGUGUGGCAGUUUGCAGAGCGAAUCAUUCCAGACCCUAACGUUAUCAAGUUACGAAAGGAGGAGCUGACCCUGCACAACAUCCGACAGUAUUACGUGCUGUGUGAGAAUAGGAAAGACAAGUACCAAGCCCUGUGCAACAUCUAUGGCGGCAUCACCAUUGGGCAGGCCAUCAUCUUCUGCCAGACUCGUCGAAAUGCCAAGUGGUUGACUGUGGAGAUGAUGCAGGAUGGCCACCAAGUGUCUUUGUUAAGCGGAGAGCUGACCGUGGAUCAGCGAGCCUCCAUCAUUCAGAGGUUUCGGGAUGGGAAAGAGAAAGUUCUUAUAACAACCAAUGUCUGUGCUCGAGGGAUCGAUGUGAAGCAGGUCACAAUUGUUGUGAACUUUGAUCUCCCUGUAAACCAAGCUGAGGAGCCAGACUAUGAGACCUACCUUCACCGCAUAGGGCGGACAGGACGCUUUGGGAAAAAGGGCCUCGCCUUCAAUAUGAUUGAAGUGGAUAAGCUGCCCCUGCUUAUGAAGAUCCAGGAUCACUUUAACAGCAGUAUUAAGCAACUCAACCCUGAAGACAUGGAUGAAAUUGAAAAGAUUGAAUAUUGAAGACAGAACUCUGUUGCUUGUGAAUUAUCCUAGUUUAUGUGAGAAUGUCCCAGUGGGUUUCGAAGGUAGACAUCUUUGUGUGGGCCCUGGGAUGUGGCGGGACUUCAUUUCCAGGAUCUGAGCACACCAUGCCACCUGUGAACAUGUCAGGGUCCACGAGAUGGCAGUAGGACCUCACUGGUUUGGGAAUGUGAGCUAGCGGGACAGAGAAGCUGUCCAGCUCCAGGCCUCCCUCAGGGGCCUGCUCCGCCAUGCAGGCACAAGCACGCGCGCUCACGCACACACACACACACACGUGCACACACACACACACCCCUUAGGUGGGAGUGCAGGGUGAAACCUUCAAAAAGUAAAACAAAUUUGAAAGAGAACAUUUUGCUUUUUUAAAUGUUUCAGUUGACAUACAGAAUGUGAAAAUAUUUUCUCUGCUUGGUUUCUUAAUGUCUUCAAAAUAGAGCAAAUUUAAUCCAUCAUCAGCUAUCUAAUAGUCUCUGAAAAUGUGUCUUUGUUAUAGACAUUUCUUCCAAACAGGCCAGGGAGGGGGGGAUCCCAUUCGCCUUAUUAAAGAA